UAACAACAAAAUCAGUUCUCACAAAUUCAGCCUAUCUUUAGACAACAAAAUCAUUGAAUCAAAGAAAAAUGGAUUAGAGUUACCGGAAUCAAAAAGCGUCGGUCUUCAUCAGCGCGGUGGCUCACGAUUUUGUUUCCAAUUUGCGGUGGUGGUCUACAAGCGGAUCUACAACAUGAGUUGA